UCUAAGAGAGAACGUGGGUGGAGUCAACGAAGCUGGUCUUCGGAUCAGCGUCAGUAGUUGGCAGCCGUUCCACUCCAACGGUAGUCGGCCGCUUCGGCAGCCGGCUAUCAGCCCGAUCCGGAUCUCCACUUGGAGUACUGGUGGUUAUGACUUGCUGGUCUUCGGCUAGACCGAAGGCCUUUGCGUCCAGCCGGCCUCGGAAGAUCUUUAAGCGGGGCUGUAGCUCAGCUGGGAGAGCGCCUGAUUUGCAUUCAGGAGGUCGCCGGUUCGAUCCCGACCAGCUCCACCAGUUGCUAGAUGGGCCUGUAGCUCAGAUGGCUAGAGCGCACCCCUGAUAAGGGUGAGGUCGGUGGUUCAAUUCCACCCAGGCCCACCAACCCAAACAGGUUUGCAGUAAGGUAGGCAAGGCCGCUUUGCGGCGGCGAGAUCUUUGACAACAGAAUAUUGACGGGCAUACUUAAUACACAAGUAGCGCGAAACACUUUGUGUUUAGAGUAGAUUUUAUGGUCAAGCUACUAAGGGCGUGUGUGUGGAUGCCUAGGCGCAAGGAGGCGAAGAAGGACGUGGUCAGCUACGAUAAGCUUCGGGAAGCCGCUAACAGGCUGUGAUCCGGAGAUUU
rnacentral:misc_RNA from 1 species